ensembl:snoRNA U3 Small nucleolar RNA U3
AAGACUCUACUUUCAGGAAUCAUUUCUAUAGUUCAUUCCUAGAGGUUUCUCUGACAGUGUAGACCAGAAGUCCCCAGUCCCUGGG